rnacentral:rRNA from 1 species
AUGCACGCUGGCGGCGUGCCUAACACAUGCAAGUCGAACGGAGAUUACGGACGGAAGUUUUCGGAUGGAAGCCUGUAAUUCUUAGUGGCGGACGGGUGAGUAACGCGUGGGCAACCUGCCCUAUACAGGGGGAUAGCAGCUGGAAACGGCUGGUAAGACCGCAUAAGUCGGUUAAAUCGCAUGAUUUGAUCGGGAAAUGAGCAAUCAGGUAUAGGAUGGGCCCGCGUCCGAUUAGCCAGUUGGCAGGGUAAAAGCCUACCAAAGCGACGAUCGGUAGCCGGACUGAGAGGUCGGACGGCCACAUUGGGACUGAGACACGGCCCAAACUCCUACGGGAGGCAGCAGUGGGGGAUAUUGCACAAUGGAGGAAACUCUGAUGCAGCGACGCCGCGUGAGUGAAGAAGUAUUUCGGUAUGUAAAGCUCUAUCAGCAGGGAAGAUGAUGACGGUACCUGACUAAGAAGCCCCGGCUAACUACGUG